CCUACGGGCGGCAGCAGUGGGGAAUAUUGCACAAUGGGGGGAACCCUGAUGCAGCGACGCCGCGUGAGUGAAGAAGUAUUUCGGUAUGUAAAGCUCUAUCAGCAGGGAAGAAGAUGACGGUACCUGAAGAAAAAGCAUCGGCUAACUCCGUGCCAGCAGCCGCGGUAAUACGGAGGAUGCGAGCGUUAUCCGGAUUUAGUGGGUUUAAAGGGUGCGUAGGCGGAAUAUCAAGUCAGCGGUAAAAAUUCGGGGCUCAACCCCGUCGUGCCGUUGAAACUGAUGUUCUUGAGUGGGCGAGAAGUAUGCGGAAUGCGUGGUGUAGCGGUGAAAUGCAUAGAUAUCACGCAGAACUCCGAUUGCGAAGGCAGCAUACCGGCGCCCAACUGACGCUGAAGCACGAAAGCGUGGGUAUCGAACAGGAUUAGAUACCCGUGUAGUC
rnacentral:rRNA from 1 species